GCUUUUUUAGUAUAAGUGAGUAUGUUUAUUUUCCAAAUAAGAGGUUUAGAAUUAAAGGAAGUA
rnacentral:tRNA from 1 species